GAAGCAAUUCGUUCUGGCUCAGAAGAGGUGUUUAGGAGUGGUGCCCUCAAGCAGUUGCUGGAGGUGGUUUUGGCAUUUGGAAAUUAUAUGAAUAAAGGUCAAAGAGGGAAUGCAUAUGGAUUCAAGAUAUCUAGCCUAAACAAAAUUGCUGACACAAAAUCCAGCAUCGACAAAAACAUUACCCUUUUGCACUAUCUCAUCACUAUUGUGGAAAAUAAGUACCCCAGUGUUCUCAAUCUAAAUGAAGAAUUGCGAGAUAUUCCUCAAGCUGCGAAAGUAAACAUGACUGAGCUGGACAAAGAAAUAAGUACCUUGAGAAGUGGCUUGAAAGCAGUAGAGACAGAGCUGGAAUAUCAGAAGUCUCAGCCCCCACAGCCCGGAGAUAAGUUUGUGUCUGUUGUCAGCCAGUUCAUCACAGUAGCCAGCUUCAGCUUCUCUGAUGUUGAAGACCUUCUAGCAGAAGCUAAAGACCUGUUUACUAAAGCAGUGAAGCACUUUGGGGAAGAGGCUGGCAAAAUACAACCAGAUGAGUUCUUUGGCAUUUUUGAUCAAUUUCUUCAAGCUGUGUCAGAAGCCAAACAAGAAAACGAAAAUAUGAGAAAGAAAAAGGAGGAAGAAGAACGUCGAGCUCGCAUGGAAGCUCAGCUCAAAGAACAACGUGAAAGGGAACGUAAAAUGAGAAAAGCUAAAGAGAAUAGUGAAGAGAGCGGAGAGUUUGAUGACCUUGUUUCAGCUUUACGCUCAGGAGAAGUGUUUGACAAAGACCUUUCUAAAUUGAAACGGAAUCGCAAACGUAUUACCAACCAGAUGACUGACAGCAGCAGAGAGAGACCAAUCACAAAACUUAAUUUCUAAUUUUCCAUGAAUACUUUUUUUUAGAAAGCUCAUUAGCAGCCCUCUAAAGUGACUAGAACGUUUCAUUACACUGCCUUGCAAUCCAAACAGUGGCAAUUUUUUCCUUCAUCUGUGAGUGAAUGCGUGAAUGUGUGUAUGUAAAUGUAUGUGUGUAUAUAUUAAAAAAUGUAUAUAGAUGUCUGAGUGUUGUCUGGAGACCUAUAUGUAUGGUUAAGAAGAUUUAUGUUAACGUAUGUGCUCCAAAACCUUUCGUGUAUGCAUUCACAUUGAGUGUGGCUCAUUUUCUUUCCCCGAACGCCAUGACUGUUCAGAAGCACAAUACUAUCUCCUGAAAGAGAUGACAGAGACAUUCCCUAGAUUCAAAGGCAAAACAGAAGAAACAAACAAACAAACAAAAAAGCUUGCAAAAUAUUUUAUGGUUUCCAAGCUUGAUAUCCUUUAAAAUUAUUUUCAUUGAUGGAACUGGAGUUGGAAAAACAUAGAUUUAAAAUGGUUUUUGAUAGCUGACAUUGUGAUGUUGAUGUAUCACAUCAGUAAUAGGACCAGCUUCGAAUUUCUGACAUUGGUGUGGGG
rnacentral:sRNA from 1 species